AGAGAGUGAUAUGAAAUGAAAAGAGAAAAGAUGAGAAAAGAGAAAAGAAAGAGGUGAAGGAGAAAGUAAUGCCUGUAGAUGCAGAGACAUAGUGAGUGAUAAUGUUGAAUCAAAUGUGUUAAUGUAUAGAUAGGAAUGGUAGAGCAGAGUUUUGGGCAGAAGUUGAAUGUGAGAGAAAAAUGUGGGGCAUUUUUGGACGCAUUAAAAACAUUGUCAACAGUGGUAGGACCGAUCAACAGUACCACAUUGGCCCAAACGUAAGUGCUGACCUGACCUCUCUAAUUCACACUUUUAACCUUUUCAAGCCAUCGGAAUCUUCUUGUGCCACACUUUUCGCUCUUUACCUUCUUCCCCAACCAAUAUUCUUAGCUUCCACCACACGUUGCAAUUUCCAAAUUCAAUUCUUCUUCAACUCACACACUUACAAACAC
rnacentral:lncRNA from 1 species